ACGCUCUUCCGAUCUGUCCCAUACCGAACCCGGAAGUUAAGCCUUUCAGCGCCGAUGGUACUGCAACCGAGAGGUUGUGGGAGAGUAGGACGCCGCCGGAC
rnacentral:rRNA from 1 species